AUUAGUUGAACCAAAGGAAGGGAUUGUGGAGCCUCCAGCCUUUAGCCAGCCAGCCAGACAUUUUAGAGGCCCAGACUCAUGAGUGGCAUCUCAGUGGUGCUAGAGUGACAUUGACUGCAGGUCGGUGAUGUCAGUCUCGGGAGGGAGGGUUUCUAGAGAGCAUCUGCUGCAGAGCUGAUUGCUCCUUCGCUGGAGAGAAAAAGCCCACGGAUUUCAGGACUACAGGAAUGGCCUGUGGUGGCUCUGAGAUUCCAUUCAGCUGAAAUGACAUGAAGACGAAGUUUGGUGAUGAGGCUGGAGCUGGGGUCUGGAGCGAUCAAGGAUACCUCAGCAUUGAUGAUGGUUAUCUCAGCGGAGGCGGAGGCUGGAGGAUCCCUGCGACUUCGGUUUCAUUUUAACCCUUCACCUGCAUCUCAGGUUGCCCUCACACCACAUUUCCUGCGUGGAGAUGACUUGGUUUCUUUAAAGUGAAUAACUAGAGAGUCCUCAACCCC